GAGAAGGUUACGCCCGAUUGGAGGUGAAAUUGCAAGUUGUUAAGCUGGUACAAGGAGGACGAGGUGGUUGCAGAGGCUGAAAUUGCUGAAACAGAUCCAAGUAAGCAGAUACAUGGAAAACCAAUCGGUCUUGGAGCCUACACUGUAUGUGUGAAAGUUUCUUAUGUGGAUGAUGCUCUUGUCUACCAAGCUACUUCAGAAGUCAGAACUGUUCAUGAUGCUGUUUCAAAUUUUAUCACAUGGCCCAAAGAUAGAAUAAUCUACCAAUACACUUCUUAAUCUUUUGUGAUCUUUUUGGAGACUUAACUUUUCGUAACAAACAUAUCACUGCCACUUUUUUGUAUGUUUUGUGUAUAUCACAUUGGUAUGUGAAUGCUUUAAUUCUGGGUUUGGUUUAAUUUGAAUGAGUCUUUCAGUUUAAUCCAA